UGUAUGAAAUUAUUUUUUUUAUAGUGAUGCAUUCAUCCGUCUAUCUUGUAAAAUAUACAUGGUGAUUUAUUGAUUUUUGUCCAUAGUGGAUUAAGGUUGGAUUGCUCCAUUCUUUUUUUCUCUUUAAGAAAAAAAUAAACAUUUUUCAUCUACAAUUUGCUUUAACUUUUCGUAAUCCAAUUGCUUUUCUACAGGCCGUUGCACACGAACAAAUUUUAGCCAUACGGCAAAAAGAGGCCGGUGCAACUUGUGAGAUUUAUUGCUGGAUAAAGGGUUACUUUUUGAAUUGCCAAAUCAAUUGAUAUGGGUCCGAUAUAUUUGGUGCACCAUGUGCGCAUGAUAGCCACCCCAAAAUGUUUUUUCUUGUGAAUUAAAUAGAUACUUACAUGGGACAUCUCAUUGUCAAUGUCAGCAUGACAGCAUAUCAACUAUUUCAAGUCCCAUUUUGAUGUGCUAUUAUUAUUAAUGAGAAAAAGGUCCACGCCUUAUCUACUGCCUUCUACACCUAUCCAUUUAUUACAUCAUCCCGCCUGCGACCGCAGGCAGCUGCGUCCUAGAAAGGCGCGUCAGCCCCGCCUGAUUCCCGCACCCAAAGCCAGAGUGAUCGCCAGCCGCGUCCAGCUGCUCUUCUUCCACAGCAAACCCCUUCCACCUCCGACGCUUUCACGGGACUCCCACCUCUCUUAAGUCCUCCAACCACAAGACCCCCGGCGGCUUCAACAGCAGCAAGAGGAGGAGCUCUUCUAACGGGGCAAAAAUGUCAUCAUCCCUGGGCACCGAACGUUGAUUGCCAGAGCGUGGCCUUCGCUGCCUCCCUCUUUCCCCACCUAGGGUUCUUGUACUUCAUCGCCGGAUCCUAGACCGCGCCAAAACUUACCCUCUUCGGGUUCUAUUUCUUGCUCGCUUUUGUUGGGUCCACAAGUAUGUCUCUUCAUCUGCCCAUCUCUUGUUUUUUUUGCUCUUCCCCUGUUUUAUAUGGAAUCAAUAUAACCGUGCUUUCUUGCUUGAUUGAUCUCUUGGCAUGGCUUGCCACCUGCUGUCAUGGAAAUGCUCGUGAACUAAUGACAUCUCAACAAUGAAAAACAAUUUCUUUCUUUCCCCAGAUUUUGAGCUUCAUACGAAUCACGCGACUGCAAACAAAUAUAUCCAUGUGCUAUUUUGAUGAUUCAUAGAAUGUGGAGAUUCUAUAUGGUCUGCAUUAGACUGAAAUAGAUGCAGAAAGUACUUUGAGGUUCUCAGAAUUGGUUCUGCUGAAUUUUGGGACCUUAGAGCUGAGAACAAGUAGUUAUCUUUCUCUUCUUAUUUCUUUACUUUGAUUUCAGCUGGGUUAGGCCAAAAUAUUGCAGGUAAGCCAUUUGUUACAUGACGUGACUACAUGUCUGCAGCACCACAGAACUUUAUGAAAUGUAAAGUGUCUGAAUAUAAUCCUUGCAAGCGAGCAGACCGGUAAUUUUUUUUAAGCUUGCGUCAUACCUCCUUAACAAUUUAGUUAGUGAAAUUGUCAUUAAUUGGCUGAUUUGUUUUAUUAUUGCAUUACUAGAAAGCUCCGCGUGUUUUGUGCAUGCAUAAUGAAGGAAAGCAGCAAUGACCUCCAAUAAACUGAACAUGUAUAAAGUACAUAACGGAACUUCUUAAGUGAUCUUUUAUCCAUAUUCCGACAAUCUUUUGCCUUUGAUUUGCAUAAAUGAUUCACUGUAAAUUAUAGUUUCAGUUCCAUGUAAAUGUGUGACAAACCUUUCUGGCGAUGGUUUUGGUAAUCCUAUUAAAGAUUCAGAGCAUGAAAUGCAACCCCCCAUAUAACACCAAUUUUGUGUCUGAAGAGAAUUUUAUUAGGAAUAACACACUUCCUUUGAGUGUUAUUCAGUUGUUGCAGGUUUUUCAAUGGUAAAGAUUGUGAUCCAGUCAGCAGACUCUCUGAUGAUGUCUCUACUUUAGCAAGGCUGAGCUACUUCUGGCACUUCCUCCUUUGGUAGCCAGGAUUUCAGGCUAAGGACGUAUCUAAUAACCUAUGUCCAUUGUAUUCUCUCUUGGAGCCUUAUGAGAAGAAGCUGGAAACAUCAAGUUGAAAUUUUGGAUCGAACUCCACUGGUUCAAGCAUGAAAUCCAAGUCCAUCAGAGGAGAAUUUGUGUCUGAGGUUGCAGCAGACAUUAUUUCAAUGAGGUCGGACUCGGCUGUCUGAAGAUUGAACCCCCCACCAUGGUAACUCAUUCUGCAAGGGGAUACUGAGAAAUAGUUGGACGCUGAUGUUUGCGAGAGGAAUGAUGGAGAGAAGCUGCCCGUGAAACCAUUAUCCAGUGCUGAAGGGGAGGAAAAGAAAAGGUCCUCAGCCUUUACGCCACUGACUGGAGUGGAGGGGAAGGAGAAGGAUAAAGAGCUCUUGUCCUGAGCUUCCGAGCCCAAGCCUUGGGUUAUUACUUUGAGGUCUCUUUGGAAGGUUAGAAGCAGGUUUUGGUCCUGCUGCUGCUGGGAAUGCUCCUGGGAAUUAGGUUUGUUUUGUUUCAGCUCUCGUUCCCGGGAUGCUGAUUUUGGGACUGAUUGGGACCUCUGGUGGCAUGUGUGAGUCCCAUGGUAGGUGACAUCAAAGACCGACGGGUUCUCAUCGGAUCUCUGCACUUGUUUUGUUGCUAGGCAGCCCUGAGUGUUGCGAUGUGUGCAUCUGUAGUAGCCUCUGCAAAGAGGUGCAACAAUGUCUGGUUAGAGGGAAGGGAAGGAUGUUUAAGACUGGCCAUCAAUAUAGCCCAUGAUUGUAAAUACUUUUCUCUCCUGUUUUAUAGCAUGAAAUGCGAAUAUACUUGUAUUUUUGCAUUUAUCCUUA